UAGCCUAGUGGUUAAGGCUAUGGAUCGCCAAUCCGGAGACGGCGGGUUAGAUUCCCGU
rfam:Aedes albopictus isolate Foshan contig110654, whole genome shotgun sequence.